AGCGUUGUCCGGAUUUAUUGGGCGUAAAGCGAGUGCAGGCGGCUCGAUAAGUCUGAUGUGAAAGCCUUCGGCUCAACCGGAGAAUUGCAUCAGAAACUGUCGAGCUUGAGUACAGAAGAGGAGAGUGGAACUCCAUGUGUAGCGGUGAAAUGCGUAGAUAUAUGGAAGAACACCGGUGGCGAAGGCGGCUCUCUGGUCUGUUACUGACGCUGAGGCUCGAAAGCAUGGGUAGCGAACAGGAUUAGAUACCCUGGUAGUCCAUGCCGUAAACGAUGAGUGCUAAGUGUUGGGAGGUUUCCGCCUCUCAGUGCUGCAGCUAACGCAUUAAGCACUCCGCCUGGGGAGUACGACCGCAAGGUUGAAACUCAAA
rnacentral:rRNA from 1 species